CUUAGCAUUAAAAUGAAUGAAUUUUGAAGGAGAUCAAGUUUUGCUUUUAUUGUUUAAGUGUUUUCUUAAGUUUGUUUAAAUUUGGAUACCUUUUGAUUUAUGCAAACUAGAUCACAAGGUGGUCAAAACCUUUGUCCUUUAAACCAAGAACUCUCUAGAGAGUUAAGGAAGUUGAAGAAAGGCUCAUCCAAUCAGUUGAAAGAAUUUGAACCAGUGGAGAUAAACAUGGAGACCGGUGAAUCUAGCAACCCAGGCCAAAUGUCUCCCGGAGGAGGUAGUUCCCGAGCAAGCCCGAGUCAAGGAGCACACACGGAGGCUCAACCCAAUACCUCUCAAGAUCCAGUGGCACCGGUACGAAUACCAAUCUCUACCUCCAUGGAAAAUCCGAAUAUAAAUCCUUAUUUAGGAGGAGGAUUAGGUUUUCAAUUUCCACCGCAACUACAAGGGGCCGGGAUGCAAAAUUUUCCUCAUCUUUUGAACCCAAAUUUCUUCACAAACCCUAUGUUUGACCCAUACCAGAAUUUCCCUCAAAGAGCCCAACCUUACUUCUACCAAAGAGCACAAAAUUUUCAACCCAUGGCUACUCACUGGAGGCCCUGAAGAUAAUACAUUCCUCACAUCACUGAGAGCUAAAUAUGCCGCAACCAUACUAAUGUCAGAAUGCAAUACCCUUCUACCAGAGGUGACAAAUGCAGCCAAAGAAAUCUACAAACAAUCAAAGUGACCGUGUUUGUAAAGAUGUUGAUUUUUGUAGACUGAAAUUGAAACAAGUAUCUGAGAUGUGUUCUUUAUUUUGGAAACUACUCUAACUCUAAAAUGAAAAAAAGCUUUUUGUCACAUCUUAUA